rnacentral:rRNA from 1 species
AUUGAACGCUGGCGGCAUGCCUUACACAUGCAAGUCGAACGGCAGCACGGGAGCAAUCCUGGUGGCGAGUGGCGAACGGGUGAGUAAUAUAUCGGAACGUGCCCAGUCGUGGGGAUAACGUAGCGAAAGCUACGCUAAUACCGCAUACGAUCUAUGGAUGAAAGCCGGGGGGAUCGCAAGACCUCGCGCGAUUGGAGCGGCCGAUAUCAGAUUAGGUAGUUGGUGAGGUAAAGGCUCACCAAGCCGACGAUCUGUAGCUGGUCUGAGAGGACGACCAGCCACACUGGGACUGAGACACGGCCCAGACUCCUACGGAGGCAGCAGUGGGGAAUUUUGGGACAAUGGCGCAAGCCUGAUCCAGCAAUGCCGCGUGCAGGAUGAAGGCC